UCAAGCUGCAAUCAGUGCUGUUGAGGAACUGACAGCAUUAAGUUACAUAUCUAGAGCUAUGGAAGCAUUCAGCCUCUUGCUCUUAAAUCCCUUUUUCGUGAUCGCUGCUAUAGCGGCGAUCCUCUACCUUUACCUAAAGUAUCAGCACACUUAUUGGAAAAGACGGGGUAUUCCAUCCGUUUCGGGACACUGGUUUUUUGGAAACAUGAAAGACGGAAUACUGAUGCGGAGAUCACCUGCGAUCGUGAUGGGCGAUCUGUAUCGGCAAGCUUCCGAAAACGACGACGUUCUGGGAAUCUAUGUCUUGCACAAACCCUUUUUACUAUUGAGGAGCCCGGAACUGAUAAAGCAAAUUUUAGUCAAGGAUUUCCAGUAUUUUUCAGAUCGAUAUUUCACGGCUAAAUCGUUCCACGAUGAAAUCGGAAACUCGAGUCUCUUCGCGAUAAAGAAUCCACAAUGGAAAUAUUUAAGAACGAAAUUAACGCCAGUGUUUACGAGUGGGAAAAUGAAGAAUCUGUUCCCCUUGAUAACCGAGGCCGCGGAAUCGAUGAAGAAUUAUUUGCAAGGUGAAUUUUCAAACAACGAGAGUACGAGAACCAUCAUGGUCAAAAACGUUAUGUCAAAAUACGCCACCGACAUUAUAUCUUCCGUUGCUUUUGGAAUUCAUGUGAAUUCUUUCGACACGUCUCAGGGCACCUUCUAUCAGAAAGCCCAAGACGCGUUGAAAAUCACGUUUCGGCGGGCCGUACAGUUUUACUGCAUGUUUUUCUUCCCGACGAUGGCACCGAUUCUGGGAGGUCAAAUAUUAGGCUCGGCUACGAAUUAUUUCCGAUCUAUAUUUUGGGAUUCUAUGGAUUCUAGAGAGAGGACAAAAUCUAAACGCGCUGAUCUGAUCGAUUCCUUGGUAAUGCUGAAGAACGAAAAACAGGAUAAUGAUUUCAAAUUCGAGGGUGAUCAUUUGGUCGGGCAAUCGGCUAUUUUCUUCGUUGCUGGUCGCGAGACUAACGUGACGACGAUAUGUUUUACCCUUGCCGAGCUCGCGAAGAAUCCGGAUAUUCAGAAUAAAGUGCGAGAAGAUAUUCUCGAAAAGCUGGAAACGCACGGAUUGACUUACGAAGGCGUACGGAAUAUGAAGUAUCUAAAUCAAGUGAUAUCGGAAGUUUUGAGACUUUAUCCAUCGGCUCCUCUAUUGGACCGAGUGGCCACUGUCGAUUACAAGGUACCGGGAACCGAUAUGGUUAUAGAAAAAGGAACGCCGAUUUACGUAAUAUUAACUGGUAUUCAGCGUGAUCCAAAAUAUUUUCCCGAUCCUCUGCGCUUCGAUCCAGAUAGAUUUAGCGACGAGAACAAAGAUAAAAUUACAGCGGGUACAUACAUGCCCUUCGGAGAAGGUCCACGAGCUUGCAUUGGUGCGCGACUCGGUAUGUUACAGUCUACUGUGGGAAUAAUCACAAUACUUAAGGAUUACGAAGUUUCAUUAGAUCCUACUUAUAAAGUUGACGUCGAUCCUCGCAACGUCUUUCUAUCACCACCAGAGGGAUUCAAACUGAGGUUUACAAAGCUUUAAUGUGCCAUUCAACGUUAUAAAGUUUCUGUACAAAAUACAUCUAUUUUACAAUACAUAGGUACAACACCAUAGUCUGGGAUACCAACGAAUGUGCUUGAAACAACCUGUCCACCCAUUGCCACAAUAGUUCCUGCUACAUAACUCUCUUCCUCGCUGAAGCCAGUUACAACGAAU